UGGUUCAUGUUUGCCUUUCGUGCCCUAGUCUUAGUAUGCUUGUGGCAUCAUUUUGCAGUCAUGUGUUGUGUUCUGUCCUAUGAUUUUGGGUUCGUAACCCUUCCUGUGUUUCAUAUUUCCUCUGUUUACAUGUGAUUAAUGCAGGUCUCCGACACUACAUCUUCUACACCUAUCCUGCCGCCGCACUGUGUGUUCAGCCUGGUCGAUCUGCACCUGCCUUUGCCGAGCACGGAGCUCGGGCGCUACGCGGGCAGUUCGGCGGCCCGAACUGACCUCCACGCUGGCCGACGCGGGCAGGACGACGGCGCACGUGCACGACCUGGCCCCUGCAGGUGGCCGCACUGCGGCUGCCACCCCGCCGCGGCUCUGCCCCACAGCUCCCAAGCAAUAGUGGGAAGCCUGAUGCUCCUAUUCAUUUGUGCAGCUCUGUGCAACUGGAUUUCGGUCUACUACAUCAAGGUGAAUGAAGUUAACUUCACUCCUGUUUAUAUGGAGUGUACUGGUGUGAGAGGAUAAUUGAUUCAUGUUGAAAUCCCUAAAAUUGCCAUGGAUAUAACUCUUGUUAUUACCUGUCUCAGGUGACAUGUGCUCCUCUGUACCUAGUGUACACUUUAGUCAUAUAUCUACAUAAUACAGUGAAUAGGGAUUGCCCUUUUAAUUUCAUGGUGUCAAGUUUCAGAGUUGCCAACGAUCCAACACCUAGGCGGUGAGGUACCUACCACGGCAUCUGAGAAUCUCCAUCUCAGGUCCAUGGUAAAGGAAUUAGGAAACAAUAGACGCAAAAUCAAAUCAGCUUUCAGCAUGGUUCCUUGAUUUCUUUGAUGUCCUCACUUACUGACUGAGACAUCUGUGAUUGCAUUUGUGCAGUUUUGCCGUGUUUUUCUAACUACUCAGCUCCCUUUUUCCUUAGGUGAGAAUUCAAAGGAUCUAUCAGAGGAUGGGAGGAUAGGGGAUGCGCAGGCGCUAGUUCCUGUGGAGUAGCUUUUGAAAACAUGAUGGUGGUGGAAGAUUUCACACCAGCAAUGUCAACAACCUGAAAUAGAAGGUUGGUCUCCUGCACAUCCUUUGCCGUUUACGGUAAGAUGACCACUUCAAUCUAUGGUUGCAUGUUCUUCAGAAUUUCUUAUUGAAUGGGCCUUCAUAGAAUUAUUUUUCAAGAGAAGCCUACUCUUGUGGAGAGAUGCAAAAUUGCUGCAUUUGAAAACAAAUAUACUUCUUAACAAAAUAUUGGACACGAGCUCCAAAUACAGAAAAAGUAUUAUUGCAUCCGUUCUAGAUCAUUAGCUGCAGUACUGUAUCCAAUGGGUUGCCACUGAAAGCAGCAGCGACAAGACACUUAUGUUUUCUUGUGUCGUAAUAACUUAGGCCAUUAACAGAGUAAGAGAUUGCCAGACAGCCCCCAGUCCGUAUGCAUCACACCAGCAUAUGGACAUGGUCCAGGGAGUUUCACAACUCCAGAAAGUGUUAUUACAUGAUGUUGAUUUAUCAUAUUAUGUAUAUUUACUAAAUCGUACAGUUGGUUGCCUAAACAUACUCAAAUAGCUUUAGUCUUUUGUUAUUUUUGCGGGGAGCAAAGAUGUCCAAAUGAUUCGGCUGUCCAGCCCCUUUUUAUCAGCAUUGGAUUGAUUUGGUGCUCACUAUAAGCUUCUUAGGAUGCAGGCUUAACCCGUUAACAUGCAUGACACAUACAAACAUGCAGAUAGCCAUACUGGCCAACUGCAUCAUCUAAGAAACUCUGAAUACUUCCAUCGGCCCAAACCUCAUCGUUUUUGCAAUAAGAUAGGCUACAUAAUUUAAUAUAGAGUAAGACCAAUAUGGAACGACAUCCAGGCUGUAUAUGUAACCCCUUUUAUUAGGAUGGCAAAAGAGAAGAAAGUUGGAAUUGGGUUUCAGUUUUAUUUUCUAUACAUUUGUUAGAUAGUUCUGUAUGUGUCGGUCUCUGAACCUUCCUUGCCCUUAUCCUUCCUUUGCUGGCUUUCCAGUGACUUUGUUUUUGGCCUGUUAAAAUUCAUCUAUUUGUAAGGGGGAAAAUUUGGGGGUUUCUAAGUGAAUUUGGGUUUCCAAAUUAUGUCUUAGUGCUUUUGUGUCCAGAGAUUUUGUAGUCUAUCCUCAGUUCAAUCCUUAAUUAUACUAUGCAACAUGCCAUUUGAUUGUGAUCUCGACAGCUUAGGUGGCUCUCCAUUUAUUUUAUUACCUCCUGCAUCCAAUUUGAGUGACUCCGUCUUUUCUACCACUUCGUUUGUUGUAGUUUGUGAUUGGGUUCUACAACAUAGUGGUAAAUUAGGCCUCCAAAAAAUUCUUUUAGUUUUUUUGAGGGCUAGGUAUGUUUCCAAAAUCUUGUUUUACAUUUUGUUUUUCCACCAUAUAUGUAUGCCCCCUUUCCAAUAUGUUACUGGUUUCAAUUUUUUUCUGCAGAACUUAUCUGGUGUGCAUGUCUACCCUGGGUAUCCAUGACAGGAUGAGGACGAGGAUAAUGUACUCCAGUGAGUUUCUGUUGUUGUUUGGUGAGUUGGAGCAUUGCAAGAGGUUGGCUCCUGACUUUGAUACGCUGGGAUCGAUGCAAUGACAUACUGCCUUCACGAUUCACACAAUACCACCCAUAGCUCAUCUAGGAGUUAAAAAAAAGGAGAAGCUGGGCAUAUUGUCGUACAUUUGGCCUAUCUAAUAUGAAUCAAUUGAAGAGACCACAGAAGAUGAGCUCAACCAAAUGGAGAUGACAAGUCAGAAGUGCUGCUGGCUAGGUACCUUGAUACGUUCCACAAAACCACUUAUUAACACCAAAUGCCACAUUAUAGCAAAGCUCCUUCAUUUUCUACAACAAGCUAUAUGAGCGGUGAAGACACACUACCGGCAGACUACAACAGAGCUGAGGAGGACAGCUCAGCGGGUUACAUCUUGGGAUGCAGUCACCACACUGAGUGUAUGUGCCGCUAUGAAUGAUCUGGUACGUUUCCAAACAUAUUUAUCAAGCAUGAAAGCAUCCAUCUCCACUGACAGCGGCCUUUUAGACCGGGAACCAAAAUGCUGACAUCAGUAUCACCAGGCUUCCACCUAAGUAUAAAGUAGUGUCCAUGUUCUGCUUUUGUAUAUAAGCAUGUAAAUCCAUAUUGUUGUUGCCAUUCCUACUCAGAACGAGGCCUAAUGUAUAAAAGUACCAGCUGUGGUGCUUUAUAUUAGAUUCUAGACUGAACCUAUGUUGUUAGACCCGAACAGUACGCUACUAUACUUAACGAGCCUAUGUAUGUGAUAUGUAAAUAUAUAACUUCUGAAUCCUUUCAACCUAUCUAUUUUGUGCUA